rnacentral:sRNA from 1 species
GAUGCACCACACAACCACAAUCAGCGUAAUGGCAUCGUGCCUCCACCAGUGCAGAACAGCAACUUUGAGAUCAAGAGCGGUCUCAUUGCCAUGGUUCAGAGCAACAAGUUCCACCGCCUCCCUAUGGAGGAUCCACUCGAUCACCUAGACGAGUUUGAUAGGCUCUGCAGCAUAACAAAGAUCAAUGGAGUUAGUGAGGAUGGCUUCAAGCUCAGAUUGUUUACAUUCUCUCUUGGAGACAAACCCCAUCAGUGGGAAAAGUUGCUUCCUUAAGGCUCUAUCACCUCCUGGAAUUACUGCAAGAAAGCCUUCUUGGCUAAGUUUUCUCAUACUCCAGGACUGCGAGACUAAGGAAUGAUAUUUCCGGUUUCACACAGACAAAUAAUGAGACUUUCUGCGAAGCAUGGGAGCGUUUCAAAGGUUACCAGACACAAUGUCCUCAUCAUGGUUUCUACAAAGCUUCACUUCUCAGCACCCUCUAUAGAGGUGUCCUUCCCAAGAUCAUGAUGCUUCU